AACGAACGCUGGCGGCAGGCUUAACACAUGCAAGUCGAACGGGUGUAGCAAUACAUCAGUGGCAGACGGGUGAGUAACACGUGGGAACCUUCCUAGAGGUGCGGAACAACUCAGGGAAACUUGAGCUAAUACCGUAUACGCUCGUGAGAGGAAAGAUUUAUCGCCUUUAGACGGGCCCGCGUCGGAUUAGGUAGUUGGUGGGGUAACGGCCUACCAAGCCUACGAUCCGUAGCUGAUCUGAGAGGAUGAUCAGCCACACUGGGACUGAGACACGGCCCAGACUCCUACGGGAGGCAGCAGUGGGGAAUCUUGGACAAUGGGCGCAAGCCUGAUCCAGCCAUGCCGCGUGAGUGAAGAAGGCCUUAGGGCUGUAAAGCUCUUUUACCAGGGACGAUAAUGACGGUACCUGGAGAAUAAGCCCCGGCAAACUUCGUGCCAGCCGCCGCCGUAAGAC
rnacentral:rRNA from 1 species